GAUGAACGCUGGCGGCGUGCUUAACACAUGCAAGUCGAACGAAGCACUUUUAAUUCUUCGGAAGAGGAAGUGACUGAGUGGCGGACGGGUGAGUAACGCGUGGGUAACCUGCCUUAUACAGGGGGAUAACAGUUAGAAAUGACUGCUAAUACCGCAUAAGCCGAUAGAGUCGCAUGACUUAGUCGGAAAAGAUUUAUCGGUAUAAGAUGGACCCGCGUCUGAUUAGCUAGUUGGUGAGGUAAUGGCCCACCAAGGCGACGAUCAGUAGCCGGCUUGAGAGAGUGAACGGCCACAUUGGGACUGAGACACGGCCCAAACUCCUACGGGAGGCAGCAGUGGGGAAUAUUGCACAAUGGGGGAAACCCCGAUGCAGCAACGCCGCGUGAAGGAAGAAGUAUUUCGGUAUGUAAACUUCUAUCAGCAGGGAAGAAAAUGACGGUACCUGACUAAGAAGCCCCGGCUAACUACGUGCCAGCCGCCGCUGUAACAC
rnacentral:rRNA from 1 species